rnacentral:rRNA from 1 species
CUACGGGAGGCUGCAGUGGGGAAUCUUAGACAAUGGGCGCAAGCCUGAUCUAGCCAUGCCGCGUGAGUGACGAAGGCCUUAGGGUCGUAAAGCUCUUUCGCUGGGGAAGAUAAUGACGGUACCCAGUAAAGAAACCCCGGCUAACUCCGUGCCAGCAGCCGCGGUAAUACGGAGGGGGUUAGCGUUGUUCGGAAUUACUGGGCGUAAAGCGCGCGUAGGCGGAUCAGAAAGUUGGGGGUAAAAUCCCGGGGCUCAACCCCGGAACUGCCUUCAAAACUCCUGGUCUUGAGUUCGAGAGAGGUGAGUGGAAUUCCGAGUGUAGAGGUGAAAUUCGUAGAUAUUCGGAGGAACACCAGUGGCGAAGGCGGCUCACUGGCUCGAUACUGACGCUGAGGUGCGAAAGCGUGGGGAGCAAACAGGAUUAGAUACCCGAGUAGUC